AUGAACGCUGGCGGCGUGCCUAACACAUGCAAGUCGAGCGGAGGUGUGGAGUAGUUUACUAUGAAGCAUCUUAGCGGCGGACGGGUGAGUAACGCGUGGGCAACCUGCCCUAUGCAGGGGGAUAACAUAUCGAAAGGUGUGCUAAAACCGCAUAAAGCUUAAGGAUCGCAUGAUUUUCAAGCCAAAGAUUUAUCGGCAUAGGAUGGGCCCGCGUCUGAUUAGCUAGUUGGUGAGGUAAAGGCUCACCAAGGCGACGAUCAGUAGCCG
rnacentral:rRNA from 1 species